AGGGAGCAAACCCGGGGAACUGAAACAUCUAAGUACCCGGAGGAAAGGAAAUCAAUUGAUACUCCCCUAGUAGUGGCGAGCGAACGGGGACCAGCCGAGCCAUGAGAACGACUGGAACAUGCUGGAAAGCAUGGCCAUAGCGGGUGACAGCCCCGUAUGGGAAGCUCGAUGGGAUGUAUUAAGUAGGGCGGGACACGUGAAAUCCUGUCUGAAGAUCGGAGGACC
rnacentral:rRNA from 18 species